ensembl:lncRNA
CACCCACCCGGGAGAGUUUCAACGCCCGAGAAUGGAGGUCGAUGAUGUUGGAACUAGGGAACGUACGAUCGGCCUUCUAAGGGAGAACUUCCCAUGGAUCCCGGGCUGGAAUCCUCUGGAACUUUUCAGGCGUUUCGUCUCCGAGGUGGGGUGGAGAUCGUUACUCCAGAAACAGGAGUGCGGCAAGGACCGGAUCGAGGGACCUCGCCCGGGACUACAUUUCCCAGAGGCCAUCGCAGACUGCGUUCUCCGGGAAGAGCUCCGCCGGCUCUUGACCCUGCUGUUCAGAGCGGCCUAGGUGUGGAGUCCCCAGUCUGUGGGGCGACGUCACAAGGCCUCUAGGACUGGGAAUGCCUGGAAGAGGCGAAGGUCAUCAUGUCUUCGCUAGAACGCAAUCUACUGAUGCUCGAUAGCCGCUAAUUUAAAUGCGCUGCUUUAGCCAGGCCUGGGGGUGUGCACCCUCUAUCCCAGCCCUCCGGAGGGGUGCAGGAAUGAAAAGGCAGAAGAGCUUGAAAAUCAAGCAAAGGCGAAAUGGACAGCAAAGCAGCAGACUUUUUGUGUGUGUGUGUGUGAAGGGAGCUGGAGCCAGAAUCGCCUCUGUGGUGCUGCAUG